rnacentral:rRNA from 1 species
GAUGAACGCUAGCUACAGGCUUAACACAUGCAAGUCGAGGGGUAACGAGAGGAAAGCUUGCUUUCCUUGUCGACGACCGGCGCACGGGUGAGUAACGCGUAUCCAACCUGCCCCCAACUAGGGAAUAACCUUGCGAAAGUAAGACUAAUACCCUAUACAUUCUUCAGAUGUCAUCUGACGAGGAAUAAAGAUUUAUCGGUUGGGGAUGGGGAUGCGUCUGAUUAGCUUGUUGGCGGGGUAACGGCCCACCAAGGCAACGAUAGGUAGGGGUUCGGAGAGGAAGGUCCCCCACAUUGGAACUGAGACACGGUCCAAACUCGUACGGGAGGCAGCAGUGAGGAAUAUUGGUCAAUGGGCGGAAGCCUGAACCAGCCAAGUAGCGUGCAGGAUGACGGCCCUAUGGGUUGUAAACUGCUUUUAUACAGGAAUAAAGUUAGCCACGUGUGGUUAUUUGUAGGUACUGUAUGAAUAAGGACCGGCUAAUUCCGUGCCAGCCGCCGCAGUAA